rnacentral:rRNA from 1 species
GUUAACCGAAUAGGGGAGCCGGAGGGAAACCGAGUCUUAAUUGGGCGUUAAGUUGCAGGGUAUAGACCCGAAACCCGGUGAUCUAGCCAUGGGCAGGUUGAAGGUUGGGUAACACUAACUGGAGGACCGAACCGACUAAUGUUGAAAAAUUAGCGGAUGACCUGUGGCUGGGGGUGAAAGGCCAAUCAAACCGGGAGAUAGCUGGUUCUCCCCGAAAGCUAUUUAGGUAGCGCCUCGUGAAUUCAUCUCCGGGGGUAGAGCACUGUUUCGGCUAGGGGGCCAUCCCGGCUUACCAACCCGAUGCAAACUGCGAAUACCGGAGAAUGUUAUCACGGGAGACACACGGCGGGUGCUAACGUCCGUCGUGAAGAGGGAAACAACCCAGACCGCCAGCUAAGGUCCCAAAGUCAUGGUUAAGUGGGAAACGAUGUGGGAAGGCCCAGACAGCCAGGAUGUUGGCUUAGAAGCAGCCAUCAUUUAAAGAAAGCGUAAUAGCUCACUGGUCGAGUCGGCCUGCGCGGAAGAUGUAACGGGGCUAAACCAUGCACCGAAGCUGCGGCAGCGACACUGUGUGUUGUUGGGUAGGGGAGCGUUCUGUAAGCCUGUGAAGGUGUGUCGUGAGGCAUGCUGGAGGUAUCAGAAGUGCGAAUGCUGACAUAAGUAACGAUAAAGCGGGUGAAAAGCCCGCUCGCCGGAAGACCAAGGGUUCCUGUCCAACGUUAAUCGGGGCAGGGUGAGUCGACCCCUAAGGCGAGGCCGAAAGGCGUAGUCGAUGGGAAACGGGUUAAUAUUCCCGUACUUGGUGUUACUGCGAAGGGGGGACGGAGAAGGCUAUGUUGGCCGGGCGACGGUU